GUCUACGGCUGUACCACCCUGCACGUGCCCGAUCUCGUCUGAUCUCAGAAGCUAAGCAGGGUCGGGCCUGGUUAGUGCUUGGAUGGGAGAAAGCUCUUCCGGUGAUUCAUAAAUG
rnacentral:rRNA from 1 species